AAUAUUGGACAAUGGGGGCAACCCUGAUCCAGCCAUCCCGCGUGUGUGAAGAAGGUGUUCGGAUUGUAGAGCACUUUUAGCUGGGAGGAAGGGCUUUAGGUUAUCAUCCUGAAGUUUUGACGUUACCUACAGAAUAAGCACCGGCUAACUCUGUCCCAGUAGCCGCGGUAAUACAGAGGGUUCAAGCGUUAAUCGGAAUUACUGGGCGUAAAGCGCGCGUAGGUGGGUCAAUAAAGUGGGUUUGAAAUCCCCGGGCUUAACCUGGGAACUGCUUUCAUAACUGCUGAGCUAGAGUACGGUAGAGGGUAGUGGAACUUCCUGUGUAGCGGUGAAAUGCGUAAGUAUAGGAAUGAACACCAGUGGCGAAGGCGACUACCUAGACUGAUACUGAAACUGAGGUGCGAAAGCGUGGGGAGCAAAC
rnacentral:rRNA from 1 species